rnacentral:snRNA from 1 species
GAAUUUACCUGGCAGGGGAGAUAUCAUAAUCACAAAGGUGGUUUUGACAGAGCAAGGCACUCUAGAUGUGCUAACCUCUGUGAUUUCCCCAAAUUUGGGAAACUCAGCUGCAUAAUUUGUGGCAGUGGGGGACUGCAUUCUCACUUGCCCAUA